AUUUUAUGGUUCAAGAGAGGCUAUUAUCACAAGUACGAAGGAUCCGAAAGGGAUUCAGAACCAUCUCCCCACUUUGCAAACUCUAAACAUAACGCAUUCUGAUGCAGAACGUAUUUUUUGUCUUAAUGAACAUGAAAUGAUUGGCCAACAAGUGAGUUUAAGGUUAGAGAACUUGGUGUUACGAUUUCUACCUCAAAUGACUUAUAUUUGGGUGGGUCCCAACAAUUCGCUUACUCUCCAACAUCUUACCACAUUAGAAAUAAGGAAAUGUGAAAAGUUGGAAGUAAUCUUUCCAAAGUCUGUUGUAAGAUUCUUACCAGAGUUGAAGCUUUUGAAGAUAACGAAAUGCAAAGAAUUAAGAGAAAUAAUUGAAGGGGAUAGAAAUUUGUCUAAUCUUGUUUCUCCUCAACCAUGCUUCCCAAAACUAGAAGCAUUGCAAGUUGAUCAUUGCCAGAAGUUGAAAAGAUUUUUCUCUGGAUGUUCUUCUGAUGACUUUCCCAAUCUUCAUCUUCUGCCCAUAAAAGGUUUGGACUUGAUUAUGAUACCCAAUAUUAGAGAGAUUGAACUGAGAGACUUUGAUAAUGGAAGGUACCUUUUUAAAUUGUCCAUUGCUUCAGCAUUGAUGUUGGAAAUUUUGAGAAUUGCGGAAUGUCCUGGACUUGAGCACAUUAUAGACACUGAUUAUGA
rnacentral:sRNA from 1 species